GGUCUGAAUGAUGCCCUUUCCCUAAGAGGAAUCCUCCUUGUAUAGUAAGCCCCGUUUAAGAAAGAUCACCAUUUAGUAGUCUUAUCCGUUAGGUAUCUCCACGACCAUUUGGCCAAAAGCGCAACAUUCAUCAAGUCCAGGUACUUCACCCCUAAUCCUCCGUCUCUUUUGCUCCUACAUACCGUGUCAUGCCCCGAGACGCCUACCAAUUUGGUCCAGUUCCGGCGCGUCGAACAGACGCUGAACGGACAGCACCUCCCCUGUCCUCCCAAGGCUAAGCAACAAGAUCAUGUACAAGAAUUUGCCCAGGAAAAGAAAUUCAAUACAUACAUGAUCAACUAGAAGCACACAAGUGCUAUACAACUAAGAGCAAGAACCACGAGUAUAUGUACAAGUAUAAUAAAGAGAGAUGCAACUAGCUAUUACAACCAUUCAACAUUUACAUAACCGAUUACAUUACGUUUCCAUCUUCCAAAAUGUAAUACAUGGUCAUCUCCAAAAUACAUGGGUAGCUCUCCAACAACUAUCAAAAUAUACAUCAUCUAGUACAUGAGGGUGCUCUAUAUGCAUGUAGGAAAGCUACUAACUAACUCAGGGCGCUAUGCCCUUGCCGCGG
rnacentral:lncRNA from 1 species